GGGGGGGGGGGGGGGGGGGGGGGGGGGGGGGGGGGGGGGGGGGGGGGUCCCCGAAACUUCCCUUCCCCUUUCCCCUUUUCCCUUCCCCUUUCCCCUUUCCCCUUCCCCUUUUCCCUUUCCCCUUUCCCUUCCCUCCCCAAACGUUCCUGGGCACGGACAUGCAGAGCUGACGCUUUUAGAGGCUCGGACGCAUCGAAUCAAGAGUAAUCAACUCCUGUCAGGAGGCCCGAGCUCUCUUUGUUGACCAGGAAGCCGCGUACGCAGGCGGGGAACGAGAGGAGCUCCCGCACUCGGGCGCAGCAACACGCCCAGCCACAAACGCCCAGCGGCGUUCUCGGGGCUCGGCUCUCACUUCUGCUCCGGGGUCUCUGCGGACACCAGUUCCUCAGUUUGCACUUUUUCUUUGGGAUCCCUCUGGUCACAAAGUCCUGAGCUUUCACUUUUGCACUGAGAUCCCUAUGGACACGAAUUCCACAGUUUUCACUUUUUCUUUGGGAUCUCUGUGGCCACAAAGUCCUGAGUUUUCACUUUUGCAUCGGGAUCUCUGUGGUCACGAAUUCCUGAGUUUUCACUUUUUCUCUGGGAUCUUUGUGGUCACAAAGUCCUGAGUUCUCACAUUCUCAUCAGGAUCUCAAUGUCACAAACUCCUGUCACUUUUUCAGGAGGAUCUCAUUGUCACAAACUCCUCAUCUGUCACUUUUUCAGGGGGAUCUCAGUGUCACAAACUCCUCGUCUGUCACUUUUUCGGGGGGAUCUCAGUGUCACAAACUCCUGAGAAGAGAAGAGAAGAGAAGAGAAGAGAAGAGAAGAGAAGAGAAGAGAAGAGAAGAGAAGAGAAGAGAAGAGAA
rnacentral:lncRNA from 12 species